CCCGCUGAGUUUAAGCAUAUCAAUAAGCGGAGGAAAAGAAACUUACCAGGAUUCCCCUAGUAACGGCGAGCGAACUGGGAAAAGCCCAGCUUGAGAAUCGGUCGCCAUCGGCGUCCGAAUUGUAGUCUGGAGAAGCGUCCUCAGCGACGGACCGGGCCCAAGUCCCCUGGAAAGGGGCGCCGGAGAGGGUGAGAGCCCCGUCGUGCCCGAACCCUGUCGCACCAAGAGGCGCUGUCUACGAGUCGAGUUGUUUGGGAAUACAACCCUAAUCAGGUGGUAAAUUCUAUCCAAGGCUAAAUACGGGCGAGAGACCGGCGAACAAGUAUCACGAGGGAAAGAUGAAAAGGACUUUGAAAAGAGAGUCAAAGAGUGCUUGAAAUUGUAGGGAGGGAAACGGAUGGGGGUGCUCCGGGCGUCGGCCUGCGGGCUCCCCAUUCGGCCCGUCUUGAAACACGGACCAAGGAGUCUGACAUGUGUGCGAGUCAACGGGCUAGAAAACCCGUAAGGCGCAAGGAAGCUGAUUGGCGGGAUCCCUCGCGGGUGCACCGCCGACCGACCUUGAUCUUCUGAGAAGGGUUCGAGUGAGAGCAUGCCUGUCAGGACCCGAAAGAUGGUGUACUAUGCUUGAGCGGGGCGAAGCUAGAGGAAACUCUGGUGGAGGCCCGCAGCAAUACUGACGUGCAAAUCGUUUGUCUGACUUGGGUAUAGGGGCGAAAGACUAAUCGAACCGUCUAGUGUCACGGGGCUAGACCUUUCGUCUCGCAAACCGUGCGGCCUUAGGCGAUCCGUUCGUCCAAACUCGCCUAAGUCAGCCUUAACUCAAAUGAGGAUUCCUUAAGAACUCCUCCAAGGCACCACGUUGAAGAGCGGAAAUGAUUUAUGCCAAAAGAAGCUAAGCCCAAAGAACAACAGAAAGAGUGCUCACAAAGUGUUUGAGUAAAUGCUCUCAGAAUUCUAUUACUCUGAAGAAUUCAGAAUACAAUAGAAUGAGUACAAAUGAGGGGGUGGCUCUCUAUUUAUAGUUGAGCUCCCCCAAAACCGACGGUCAAGAUACAUUUAUAUCGACGGACGAGAUUAACCAUAUCACUUUAUUUUAGGGAUUUACAAGAUAUACCAUAUCAAAUCUAAUCUAAUCUUUACAAGAUAUGAUUCCCUCUAUCUUCUAAGAUUAGUUACCAUAUUAGCCUAAGUUGCCAUCUUUUCGCUAUCGGGCCAACCAAGCUUCAAUUUGACAAGCUUCUCCAAUAUCUCUUUGAAUCAGGCCAACUCUCGUGGGCUAAAUGUUCCCCAUCUUAUCGACAGACCUCCAUGGGGCACAUCUUGUGCCAUGGUCACGGGCUUUGAACUUUGGCCCGUGACAUUCUCCCCCACCCAUUCUCGCAACGCCCUCGUUGCGACUUCCGAAUGGCACUGACUCGAUCCACCUUUGAACCCUCUCGUUGCCUUGGCUUCUUCCUGACUUGUCUUACUAUCAGGUUGUCCCUCCAUUGGAACCUUUGCCUCGGCUUCCAUCGCAUCUUCACUUGAACCAUUGCACUCGUUGGUACAUCUCGUUGGCAAGAAGUCUCCGCACUAACUUGCCUAAAUUUUGACUUGCUUCCUUUUGAAUCAUCUCGAUUCUCACACCUUGGCUUCGUAUUGCCCACAGUCCCUUGCCCUCCUUGCUCAUGAACUUUGAAAGGCCCCCUACGCCCUUGCCAAGCCAACAAGUCAGAAUUCAAAACACUAUCAACGUGUUCGCAAUGUACCUUACUCGCAGCAUUUACUCGUCCCGGCUGUUUUUGCAUCGCUCUCUUUUUCUGAAUGCCCGAUGCACAACCCACCAUUCCCAAAGGUGUCGGCUUUACAGUCGAAUCUGUAGGCUUCAUAUCAGACUCUUGCGCCACUAACACUUCCGAAGGAGCUUUCGUAACUUUCCGUUCUAUCGAGUCAAUGUUCCCCCCAUACGAAACAUCCUCGACUAGUUGGAUUGACGACAACACCUUCGCCCCCACCUUCAUAUCUCGAUGCACCGGCACAACAAUUUUUGUUAACGGACCAGUGCAAAUAUGAAUUUGAUCGGCGCAUGGAUACAAAACUAUUUCCAUCCUGUCAAGGAAGUUUAAGCCAAGUACAUAAUCGUAAUAAUCUAAUUUGAUUACCUCAAAGUCUUCCUUGCCCUUCCAUUCACCGAUUUGUAGUUCCACAUUCUGAACUACUCCCAACGUUGGGGCCUCCUCGAAAUUUACUGUCUUGAUCUUCCUAUUCGAUUUCCUAAUCGACAGACCAAGCUUCUUUGCAGCCUUCUCUGAUAUGAACAAGUCUGAUGCUCCCAUAUCAAUAUGAGCACUCCGCUUCUGACCCGCAAUGUUGAUGUCUACAAACAUCAACCCUUCUUUUCCAUUCCUUUCCUUAGGAAUGAGCACCAUCGAUAUGACCCUCGAUGGCUUUCCCUCAAUAGGCUUCACCUCUUCCGGCUCAUCAUUUCUCUUGAUAGCCAAAAUUGAAGAUACCUUUGGGCAGUCCCUUUUCAUGUGCGGUCCCUUACAAAAGUAGCAUCAUAACUUUCCCCUCUUUUCUUUUGGGCUAUUAGGUCUCCACUUCCCACUCCGUGGUUUCCUAUCAUUACCAUCGCUACUGCUACCGUUGCCAUCAUAGCUUUGUCCCUCUUCAUCCUCCUCAUGGUACCCACCAUUACCCCUCCUAUUGGGCUUGGAAGAUUCAAACCUAUCCCUUCUCGGAGCAGGUUCCACUAUAGACUCCGCUACCAUCAUGGCAUUGGUGAGUUCCUUAACUCCUCGACAUUGCAAUUCUUGCCUCGCCCAUGGUUUUAGCCCAUCCGUAAAGGAGAAAAAUGCUUCUUUCUCACUCAAAUCAGAGAUCUGGAGCAUGAGUUCACUGAACUCCUGCACAUACUCCCUAACCGUGCCUCGUUGCGUUAGUCGUCGCAACUUUGCUCGAGCUUCAUCCUCGGCAUACUCGGGGUAAAACUGUGCUUUAAAUUCAUCUUGGAACUCCUUCUAAGUCCCAAUCUCAGUACCACCACGUCUCACAUCAGUGGACCUACGUCUCCACCAUAACAAGCAACGUUAGUGAAAUACAUAGCAACAAUGUUUACCUUUGUAACAUCAUCCUCGAUGUUCAUCGCACGGAAGUAUUGCUCCAUGGCCCAAAGAAAGUUGUCCACCUCACUUGCAGACCUUACCCCUUUGAACGCCUUCGGCUUGGGCACAUCCAUCGCUUGUGGUUUCAACUUUGAAGCCAACAUUCCUUUCCCUAUGGAAGCCUUGAAAAUCUUGAGCUCCCCCUUAAGCUCGUUGAUUUCCUCCUUCAAAGCUGUCACCAUAGCCACGAGAGCAUCGUUCUUUAGGCCAGCUUAUUCUCUGAGGAACCGAUAGUAUCCCACACAAAUUCCCUGAGCUGUCCUUGCAAUUUUCGCAGCCUAUCAUUGUGUCUAUCAUUGACAUCAUCGAUCCUCUCCUUGACAUCCCCCAUGGACUCCUCGAGAGUGCCUUUGAACCAACAAUUCAGAUAUUACUUGGUUCAAACCUUGCUCUGAUACCACUUGUUACGGGGCUAAACCUUUCGUCUCAUAAACCGUGCGGCCUUAGGCGAUCUGUUCGUCCAAACUCAGCUAAGUCAGCCUUAACUCAAAUGAGGAUUCCUUAAGAACUCCUCUAAGGCACCACGUUGAAGAGCGGAAGCGAUUUAUGCCAAAAGAAGCUAAGCCCAAAGAACAACAGAAAGAGUGCUCGCAAAGUGUUUGAGUAAAUGCUCUCAGAAUUCUAUUACUCUUAAGAAUUCAGAAUAUAAUGGAAUGAGUACAAAUGAGGAGGAGGCUCUCUAUUUAUAGUUGAGCUCCCCCAAAACCGACGGUUAAGAUACAUUUACAUCGACGGACGAGAUUAACCAUAUCCCUUUAUUUUAGGGAUUUACAAGAUAUACCAUAUCAAAUCUAAUCUAAUCUUUACAAGAAAUGAUUCCCUCUAUCUUCUAAGAUUAGUUACCAUAUUAGCCUAAGUUGCCAUCUUUUCGCUAUCGGGCCAACAAGGCUUCAAUCUGACAGGCUUCUCCAAUAUCUCUUUGAAUCGGGCCAACUCUCGUGGGCUAAAUGUUCCCUAUCUUAUCGACAGACCUCCAUGGGGCGCAUCUUGUGCCAUGGUCAUGGGCUUUGAACUUUGGCCCGUGACACUAGUAGCUGGUUCCCUCCGAAGUUUCCCUCAGGAUAGCUGGAGCCCUUAGCGAGUUCUAUCGGCUAAAGCCAAUGAUUAGAGGCAUCAGGGGCGCAACGCCCUCGACCUAUUCUCAAACUUUAAAUAGGUAGGACGGCGCGGCUGCUUCGUUGAGCCGCGCCACGGAAUCGAGAGCUCCAAGUGGGCCAUUUUUUGUAAGCAGAACUGGCGAUGCAGGAUGAACCGAAAGCCGGGUUAUGGUGCCCAACUGCGCCUAACCUAGAACCCACAAAGGGUUAAGACAGCAGGACGGUGGUCAUGGAAGUCGAAAUUCGCUAAGGAGUAUGUAACAACUCACCUGCCGAAUCAACUAGACCUGAAAAUGGAUGGCGCUUAAGCGCGCGACCUAUACCCUACCGUCGGGGCAAGGGCCAAGCCCCGAUGAGUAGGAGGGCGCGGCGGUCGCUGUAAAACUCGGGGCGCGAGCCCGGGCGGAGCGGCCGUCGGUGCAGAUCUUGGUGGUAGUAGCAAAUAUUCAAAUGAGAACUUUGAAGGCCGAAGAGGGGAAAGGUUCCAUGUGAACGGCACUUGCACAUGGGUUAGUCGAUCCUAAGAGACGGGGGAAGCCCGUCCGAUUGCGUGUCUAGCGCGAGCUUCGAAGGGGAAUUGGGUUAAAAUUCCUGAACCGGGACGCGACGACUGACGGAAAUGUUAGGGAGUCUGGAGACGUCGGCGGGGGCCUCGGGAGGAGUUAUCUUUUCUGUUUAACGGCCUGCCCACCCUGGAAAUGGCUCAGCCGGAGGUAGGGUCCAGCGUCCGGAAGAGCACCGCACGUCGCGUGGUGUCCAGUGCGCCUCCAAGGUGAACAGCCUCUGGUU
rfam:Gossypium hirsutum cultivar TM-1 chromosome 19, whole genome shotgun sequence